UACGUAGGGGGCAAGCGUUGUCCGGAUUUAUUGGGCGUAAAGAGCGUGUAGGCGGCCAGACAGGUCAGCUGUGAAAACUCGAGGCUCAACCUCGAGACGUCGGUUGAAACCGUCUGGCUAGAGUCCGGAAGAGGAGAGUGGAAUUCCCCGGUGUAGCGGUGAAAUGCGCAGAUAUCGGGAAGAACACCCGUGGCGAAGGCGGCUCUCUGGGACGGUACUGACGCUGAGACGCGAAAAGCGUGGGGAGCGAACAGG
rnacentral:rRNA from 1 species